rnacentral:ncRNA from 1 species
AACUUAUCUAGAGUCAGGGUAGGAACUGGUCCAGCGACCCUGCAGCAACCGCUUGUUUGAAGUAAGGUGCUAAGUCCAGCAGACUGACACGUCUGAGAGAUGAGAG